rnacentral:rRNA from 1 species
UCGACGGUGAGGGGUGAAAGCUGGGGGAGCAAACCGGAUUAGAUACCCGGGUAGUCCCAGCUGUAAACUAUGCAAACUCAGUGAUGCAUUGGCUUGUGGCCAAUGCAGUGCUGCAGGGAAGCCGUUAAGUUUGCCGCCUGGGAAGUACGUACGCAAGUAUGAAACUUAAAGGAAUUGGCGGGGGAGCACCACAAGGGGUGAAGCCUGCGGUUCAAUUGGAGUCAACGCCUGAAACCUUACCCGGAGAGACAGCAGAAUGAAGGUCAAGCUGAAGACUUUACCAGACAAGCUGAGAGGUGGUGCAUGGCCGUCGCCAGCUCGUGCCGUGAGAUGUCCUGUUAAGUCAGGUAACGAGCGAGAUCCCUGCCUCUAGUUGCCACUAUUACACCCUGGUGUAGUAGGGCGAAUUAGGGGGACCGCCGCAGUUAAUGCGGAGGAAGGAAGGGGCCACGGCAGGUCAGUAUGCCCCGAAACUCUGGGGCCACACGCGGGCUGCAAUGGUAACGACAAUGAGUUCCAAAAUCGAAAGAUGGAGGUAAUCUCUAAACGUUACCACAGUUAUGAUUGAGGGCUGCAACUCGCCCUCAUGAAUAUGGAAUCCCUAGUAACCGCGUGUCAUUAUCGCGCAGUGAAUACGUCCCUGCUCCUUGCACACACCGCCCGU